rnacentral:rRNA from 1 species
CUCAGCAAGGCCUUGGGCGUCAAGAAUCAGAAGCUUUCAACAUACGAGAAGGAGUUCUUGGCAGUGAUGAUGGCGAUCGACAAGUGACAGCCGUACUUGCAACGCACCCCGUUCGAGAUCGUCACCGACCACAAGAGCCUGUGUGAGCUUACAGAUCAGCAGCUUGCUAUGGACCUCCAGCGGAAAGCCAUGUCCAAGCUGGUUGGCCUGCAGUUCUCCUUCCGCUACACGAAGGGUGUCGACAAUGGUGCCACGGACGCGCUGUCCCGUAUCGUCCAUCUGCUCGCCCUCGAUGCUCUCUCUCUCUGUGUCAGCCCCAAUGGCUACAGGAGGUGGCUAACUCCUACGAAACUGAUCCCGAUUCGCAAGAGCUGCUGGCCAAGCUCGCGGUCACCGCCGUCGACGACCAAGGGCGCACAUUACAGAACGGCGUCAUCAAGCAGCACGGCCGGCUCUGGAUUGGUGCAAACUCCGCAUUGCAUGCCAAGCUCAUCGCCGCUCUCCAUCACAGUGUCGUGGGUGGCCACUCCGGCGCCACGGCCACCUACCACCGCGUCCGCAAGCUGUUCACCUGGCCGGUCUGAAGCGUGCCGUGGAGGAUUUUUUCCAGCAGUGCGCCAUGUGCCAACAUGCCAAGCACGAGCACACGCACCCUGCCGGCAAGCUCCAACCCCUUCCAAUUCCCACGGAACCAUGGCAGGAGCUGACCAUGGAUUUCAUGGAGGGGCUGUCAAAAUCUGA